rnacentral:rRNA from 1 species
AUACGGAGGAUGCGAGCGUUAUUCGGAUUUAUUGGGUUUAAAGGGUGCGUAGGCUGUGCGUUAAGUCAGGGGUGAAAUGCCGUCGCUCAACGACGGAGCUGCCCUUGAUACUGGCGUGCUGGAGUACGGAUGCCGUUGGAGGAAUGCGUGGUGUAGCGGUGAAAUGCUUAGAUAUCACUCAGAACACCGAUUGCGAAGGCAUCUGACGAAUCCGUCACUGACGCUGAGGCACGAAAGCGUGGGGAUAGAACAGGAUUAGAUACCCUGGUAUUCCACGCCGUAAACGAUGAUGACUAACCGUCGGCGAUAGACAGCCGGUGGCCAAGCGAAAGCGAUAAGUCAUCCACCUGGGGAGUACGUCGGCAACGAUGAAACUCAAAGGAAUUGACGGGG